UUCAGGCUUCUGCCCGACGGGAUCUACUUCCAUUUCCUCUAUUGAUCACGAGGAUUCUGCAGGAGAAUAGAGUAGAUGUUUCUUGUGAGAAGUAUGAUUUCGGUCUUAGUCCAAUCGAUGCUGUUACCUGGGCCAAGUCGGUUAGCACGCUAAAGACUUUUCAGUAAACGAAAGGACCAUCGCGAGCAGCUUCUAGCCCGGCACCUCCACCUCGAGCAGAGCGUGAGGGAUCUUCCAGUUCAGGGGGAGUGAUUACUGUAGAAUCACUUCACCAUGAAGUGCGAUCUUUGAAGAAGAAAGUGGCAGAUCUUGCUAGGAAGGUGGAAGUGGGCAUGAAGAGGAUGAUGGAAAAAUUGGGAUGUAGGCAUGAUGAUAUUUUUUCUAUUCAGCCUGCCUACACGAGAUCUACUUCGCGACAUCCUCUUAUUCCUCCAUCUACUGGAG
rnacentral:lncRNA from 1 species